UGGGGAAUAUUGCGCAAUGGGCGAAAGCCUGACGCAGCAACGCCGCGUGAGUGAUGAAGGCCUUCGGGUUGUAAAGCUCUGUCGGGUGGAACGAACAGGUGAGGUGUGAAUAGCAUCUUGCAUUGACGGUACCACCAAAGGAAGCACCGGCUAACUCCGUGCCAGCAGCCGCGGUAAUACGGAGGGUGCAAGCGUUGCUCGGAAUUAUUGGGCGUAAAGCGCACGCAGGCGGCGUGGUAAGUCAGUUGUGAAACUCCCGGGCUUAACUUGGGAACUGCAGCUGAUACUGCCAUGCUUGAGUACGGAAGAGGGGAGUGGAAUUCCCAGUGUAGAGGUGAAAUUCGUAGAUAUUGGGAGGAACACCGGUGGCGAAGGCGGCUCCCUGGUCCGAUACUGACGCUCAUGUGCGAAAGCGUGGGGAGCAAACAG
rnacentral:rRNA from 1 species